rnacentral:tRNA from 1 species
GGAGAGGUCGCAUAGUUGGUCUAGUGCGUCCGCCUCGAAAGCGGAUGUGGCGGCAACGUCACCGUGGGUUCGAAUCCCACCCUCUCCGCCA